rnacentral:rRNA from 1 species
UACGUAGGGAGCAAGCGUUGUCCGGAAUCAUUGGGCGUAAAGCGCACGUAGGCGGUUUGUUAAGUCGGAUGUGAAAUCCCUCGGCUCAACUGAGGAAGUGCAUCCGAAACUGGCAAGCUUGAGUACGAAAGAGGGUCGCGGAAUUCCUGGUGUAGCGGUGAAAUGCGCAGAUAUCAGGAGGAACACCGGUGGCGAAGGCGGGUCUCUGGGCAGUAACUGACGCUGAGGAGCGAAAGCGUGGGGAGCAAACAGG